UGUUCCAGCUUAUGGUCAGCUCCUACAAGCCAAUGGCGAAAGCCCUGUGACUUGGAAAAGAGCAGCAAACAUGGAUGAGGUGCUCCGAGAAGCAGAUGUGAUAAGCCUUCACCCAAUUCUCGAUAAAACCGCUUAUCAUCUGAUCAACAAAGAAAGAUUAAUUAGCAACGAUGAAGAAGGAAGCAGUCCUUGUUAACUGUAGCAAAGGGCCUGUGGUUGAUGAGGUUGCUCUUGUGGAGCAUUUGAAACAAAAUCCCAUGUUUCGAGUUGGUCUU